AGAAAGAAAAGAUUCCAAGCUUGUGUGUGAUCCAAAAAUCUUGGCUUCCACAUAAUUAAGAAGUACUCAAGACGCUCUCCGACGUGGUAUAAUUGGUUUGGCACAAGGAUUCCGUUUGCGACAAGUCGGAAAGUUAGUAAAAGAUUUUUGACGAAACGGGACGGGACUUUUGGAAGAGCUUACGACGUCUGUGAGGUGCAGACAUCGGUGAUCCUCCGCAGUAGGCUUCGCUUCUUGCUUUCCGGAGUACUCUUACUUGGUCCGGGGUCCACUUUUGGUACAGACUCCUUUACUCUGUAUAUGUUUUGUAUAUUUGACAGUUUGGGUACGGCGAGGCCCUGUCUCGCCAUAUGUUAUGUUUUGAAUUCGUAGAGGCCUGUAGUCAUCUUUGUGGGGCGAGGGUCCUAUGUGUAUGUUGUUUGAUUUUGCUUUCGGGUCUUACAGCGGUCUGUUUGAUAUGAUGGCCCCAAAUGGCCCUUCUGUAUAUAUUUGUAUUUUGACCGGCGAUGUCUAUUCC